rnacentral:lncRNA from 1 species
CUUUCUCCCUGACACCAUGUGAAGAAGGUCCUUGGUUCCCGUUCACUUUCCAUCAUGAUUGUAAGUUUCCUGAGGCCUCCCUAACUGUGCAGAACUGUAAGUAAAUUACAAUUAAGCCUUUUUUCUUCAAAAAUUACCCAGUCUCAGGAGGUUCUUUAUAGCAGUGUGAAAACAGACAGUCGUUUCUCUCCUCACGCCCUGCCGUGUGUGUGUGUGUGUGUGUGUGUGUGUGUGUGUGUGUGUGUGUGUGUAGGGGUGGGGGUUUCGGGGGGGAGCGCGGGGAGGAUAGCAGAAAAUGGCUUACAGAGAGAAAUCCCCCCUCCCUCUGUCUCUGUACAGGGAAGCUGUUUUCUCCUUCCUUCCAUCUUUCUUGACUGUUGAACUUUUCACUCCUUAAAACUACUCCACGUGUGUCCAUGUUGUUUUAUCAAAAUUGGUGCGAGACUAAGGACCCUGGUGUUCGAACACUCCAGUCAUCAGAGCUGUUUCAGUAUUGGGAAGGGGGAUCCAGCCAUCAACCUGGAGCCAAACCCCAACCAACGAGAUGCGACUAUAAAUGGGACACUCUGGGGCACGUUCCACAAGGUUCUGCAGAAGUCUCCAGCAAGAUUAAGCCCCUUUUGACCACAGCUGCAAUCCCCACAUUCAUGACCACGCCUUCUUUGCCUUUUCUUCCUGUCUCCCUUUCCCACUUUCUCACCUGUUCUUCCUGAGAUUGCCUGUCAAACUGCCUGCCUGCCUCCCGAUGCUUGUCUCAGGGUACAUUUUGAAGGAAACCCAAACCAAGACGGGGUAGUAUUUGCUGUAAUGGGCUUUUAUUUCUAUCUUAGACAAAUUCAGGUCUCAGAAAAACCUGGCACUUGUAAACCAAAAAUAAAAUUCUAAGGCCCUCCAACCAUCAGAAUGGGCCCCUCCUCUUGGCCCAGAGCAUUCCAAAGUUAACCUGAAAAUCUAGUUCAGGCCACAACAGGAUGGUGGGGUCGAACAUGCCUCAGUAUGCCCUCCUGCCUUUUGGAAUUCAGGAAAAGCUGACUAGUAUUAACAUCAAUACAGACCUUAAGUCUGAUAAAAGACAUCUGCAAUGUAUUCUCUCUGAAGCCUCCUACUUGGAGGCUUCAUCUGCAAUAUAAAGUCUUGGUCUCUAUAACCCCUUUAGGGAAACCAGACAUUUCUUUCUAUUGAUAAAACUCUUUCAACCAAUUGCCCAUCAGAAAAUUUUUAAAUUUACCUAUGACUUGGAAGCCCCACUUCGAGUUGUCUUGCCCUUCCAGAUCAAACCAGUGUAAAUGUUACAAGUGUUGACUGUUGUAUUAUGUCUCCCUAAAAUAUAUAAAAGCAAGCUGUGCCCCAGCCACCUUGGGCACAUGCCAUCACGACCUCUUGAGGCUGUGUCACAGGCGUAUCCUUAACCUUGGCAAAAUAAACUUUCUAAAUUGAUUGAGACCUGUCUCAGAUACGUUUGUAGGUUCACACACUGUAACACUAAUCCAGACUUAAAACCCACAUGGGCAUUUUCUCUGCCAGUGCCCUGCUACGGUUUGAAUAUGUCAUAUCCCCCAAAAAUCACGUGUUAGAAACUCAAUCCCCAUACAACAGUAUUAAGAGAUGGGAUCUUUAUGAGAUUAUUAGGCCAUGAGGACUCUGCCCUCAUGAAUAUAUUAAUGCUAUUAUCACAGGAGUGGAUCCCUUAUAGAAAGACCAGUUCAGUCUCCUUUUCUCUCCCCUGCCCUCUGCCUUUUGUCAUGGAAUGACGCAGCUAAAAGGCCUUUGACAGAUACUGGCCCAUUGAUCUUGAACUUCCCAGUUCCAGAACUGUGAGCCAAUAAAUUUCUGUUCAUUUUAAAUUACCCAGUCUACGGUAUUCUGUUAUAGGAGCACAAAACAGACUAUGACAUGCCAUAAAUACAACAUACGUAGGAAAACACACAUAUCUAAAGAUUUUAUUAUUAUUAUUAUUAUUUAGAGACAGGGUCUUGCUAUGUUGCUCAGCCAAGUCUCAAACUCCUGGCCUCAAGCAACCCUUUCACCUCAACUUCCCAAGUGGUGGGGAUUACAGGUAUAAGCCACUGUACCUAGCUCUAUCUAAAGAUUUUUUACUGAAGAGUAUCAAUCUGAAAUAAUCAAAAGGAUCAGGAUCCAGUUUUAAAGAGCUUAUUCAAGAGAAGCUGAAAGCCAUUCCUGGAUGCGCCCCUUCAGAGAAAUGAGUUUAGUGCUUUGAAGUCAAAAGCUAAAUUUUUUCUUAUAUAGGAAAAAGACAAAUUUAACAAGAUUACAACAUUUUCUAUACAAAACUGAUUUAUGAGUUAUAACAAAUUAAUUAGUUACAGUUUGUUUCCAUGUAGCUUGUUUUCUUUUCCUUAUAACUGGUUUUUCAUUUCCUUUCCAAUUUUAAAGAGUGUAUUUAACAUUCCAUCUUAAGCCAUAUGAUAGCCUAGAAAUCUUUGUGUCAGAAAGGUAAGAGGGGGGUCAAUGUAUAAUGAAAGUCUACAGUUAGAGGGAAGGGGGUCCUCCCUGGCACCCUUCAACCAUUUACAUUUUAUGAAACAAUGCAUGUAAGGGAAAAGGCUUAAUUUGUUAUUAAACAAAAGCUUAUAGCUUAUAGCUGCCUAGUCUACAGCCUGUCAAUGACUCAGGCCCUGAAAUUCUCAUUCCUUUAAGGCUCAGAAUAAUUUAGCAUUCCAAUAGCUUAGACUUUGAAUUACUUAUUUCCACAAGAGGACACCUGUAGGCAGGAUUUCCACAAGCACUACCUGACCCUUUAUUUAUAACGCAACUCAAGAAGGCCCUGGCCUGGCACAGUGGCUCGUGCCUGUAAUCCCAGCACUUUAGGAGGCUGGGGCGGGCAGAUUGCUUGAGCCCAGGUGUUCCAGACCAGCCUGGGAAAUACAGGGAGACACUGUCUCUACAAAAAUAAAAAUAGAAAUAAGCCAGGCAUGGUGGCACGGGCCUGCAAUCUCAGCUACGUGGGAGGCUGAGGCAGGAGGAUCACUUGAACCCAGGAGGUAGGGGUUGCAGUGAGCUGAGAUCAUGCCACUGCACUACAGUCUGGGCAACAGAGUGAGACCUUGUCUCCAAAAAAAAAAAAAAAAGGCUGGGCAUGGCAGCUCACGCCUAUAAUUCCAGCACUUUAGGAGGCUGAGGUGGGCAAACUGCCUAAGGUCAAGAGUCUGAGACCAGCCUGGCCAACAUAGUGAAACCCUGUCUCUACCAAAAAUACAAAAAUUAGCCAGGCAUGGUGGCGCAUGCCUGUAAUCCCAGCUACUCAGGAGGCUGAGGCAGGAGAAUCUCUUGAACCCAGGAGAUGGAGGUUGCAUUGAGCCGAGAUCACACUAAUGCACUCCAGCCUGAGACUCCAUCUCAAAAAAAAAAAAAAAAAAAGGAAGGCCCUAAGACAACAGGCUUCAUGCCUCACAUUUAUAAAGAAUAUCAAGUCCUCCAGACAGCUAAGUUUGCUAAGUUUGUGAUGAUACGAAAAAUUAGGGAAAGAUUUUCCUAUUUUGUGAAUCACUGAGGGAAGCUAUGUGGUUAAGUACAUAAGGAAAAAAACUAGACUAUUUCUAGUUUCUGGAAGCGGCAUUAUCUGUAACCUUGUUUUGAUCGUCUUAAUAACAAUCCUUUAAAUGUUAAUGUGAGAAAUGACUAAUAAACAAUUAUUAAAAAUGAGGCUUUAAUUUGCCUUAUUUGCAUAACACUGAUUGCUCCAUUGGUUAUCCCCUCUCCUGAAUCACCAAUCUGAUUAUUAGGCUAUUCCCAUAGACAUGACUGUCCCCACAAAUCCCUAGCUACCAGCCUGUUUCUUUUAAAGCAAUUUUGUUGAGAGAUCUAUCUUCAUAUUUCAUUUUCAAAGUCCAGUCUGGCUUCUGCUGUCAUCACUCCCCCAAAACUGUAUAAAAUUAGCAAUAUCAGGCUAGGAGUGGUGGCUCACGCCUGUAAUCCCAGCACUUUGGGAAGCUGAGGCGGACAGAUCAUUUAAGCCCAGGAGUUCAAAACCAGCCUAGACAACAUGGCGAAAACCCGUUGCUGCAAAAAAUACAAAAAAAUUAACUGGACAUGGGGGUGUGCGCCUGUAGUCCCAGCUACCAAGGAGGCUGAGGUGGGAGGAUCACUUGAGCCCGGGGAGGUUGAGGCUGCAGUGAGCUGUGAUCAUGCCACUACACUCCAGCCUGGGCAAUAGAGCAAGGCCACGCCUUAACAAAAAGAAAAAAAAAUCAGCAAUAUCUCUGUGCUGCCAAUAAAAACUCCUGUCAUCUUACUAUUAAUAGUUCCCUUAACAGCAUUCAAUUCAGAUGCCAACUCCUUCCUAGAAACAUUCUUCUCUUCCCUUGGCUUCUAUGUUACUGUACUCUCCUGGUUUCUACAUUGGCUAUUCCUUCUUGUCUCUUGAUCUCCAAGUGUUGUUCAGGGAUCAGGAAUCCCUCCAAGGCCUUCGUUAUUUCUUUUUCUUUUUUUUUUUUUUUAUUUUUUAUUUUUAU